CAGGCAUUUAGAUGAUUCUGUUAGUACUGACUGGAUGAUUCAGUACAUUGAUUUGUGAAUUGAGAUUUCAGGCCUGAUAUAUCCUGCCUGAGGAAGAGCUCAUGCAAAUUUUCCCUUUUCAUGUGGAAAGAGGUUACAUCUAUCCCUAGGCUGAAGUAUGUAGAAAAAUAAAGGAGAAAGUGAUGCUCAGUGGGAUGUGAACGUCAGCUUCACAUCCUAGAAACUUCAGGACUCAGAGGCUGUGAGGGGUUCAGAGCUAAGAUACUGACAUGGCAACAUACUCAAAGGAGAUUGGGCAUUUGAUUUUACC